UUCCAGACUCCUACGGGAGGCAGCAGUGGGGAAUAUUGCACAAUGGGGGGAACCCUGAUGCAGCGACGCCGCGUGAGUGAAGAAGUAUUUCGGUAUGCAAAGCUCUAUCAGCAGGGAAGAAAAUGACGGUACCUGACUAAGAAGCCCCGGCUAACUACGUGCCAGCAGCCGCGGUAAUACGUAGGGGGCAAGCGUUAUCCGGAUUUACUGGGUGUAAAGGGAGCGUAGACGGCGCGGCAAGUCUGAAGUGAAAGGCAGGGGCUUAACCCCUGAACUGCUUUGGGAACUGUACGGCUGGAGUGCAGGAGAGGUAAGUGGAAUUCCUAGUGUAGCGGUGAAAUGCGUAGAUAUUAGGAGGAACACCAGUGGCGAGGGCGGCUUACUGGACUGUAACUGACGUUGAGGCUCGAAAGCGUGGGGAGCAAACAGGAUUAGAUACCCUUGUACA
rnacentral:rRNA from 1 species